UACGGGGGGGGCAAGCGUUGUUCGGAAUUACUGGGCGUAAAGGGCUCGUAGGCGGCCAACUAAGUCGGAUGUGAAAUCCCCAGGCUCAACCUGGGAACUGCAUCCGAUACUGGAUGGCUUGAAUUCGGGAGAGGGAUGCAGAAUUCCAGGUGUAGCGGUGAAAUGCGCAGAUAUCGGGAGGAACACCAGUAGCGAAGGCGGCUCGCUGGGCCGUUCCUGACGCUGAGACGCGAAAGCUAGGGGAGCGAACAGG
rnacentral:rRNA from 1 species